rnacentral:rRNA from 1 species
UACGAAGGGGGCUAGCGUUACUCGGAUUGACUGGGCGUAAAGGGCGCGUAGGCAGUUUGUACAGUCAGACGUGAAAUUCCUGGGCUCAACCUGGGGGCUGCGUUUGAUACGUGCGGACUUGAGUUCGGAAGAGGGUCGUGGAAUUCCCAGUGUAGAGGUGAAAUUCGUAGAUAUUGGGAAGAACACCGGUGGCGAAGGCGGCGACCUGGUCCGAUACUGACGCUGAGGUGCGAAAGCGUGGGGAGCAAACAGG